ensembl:rRNA 5S_rRNA 5S ribosomal RNA
GCCAGCAGCCAUAUCACCCUGCAACUCACAACUGGCAGCCCACUGAAGCUAAGGAGGUGUGAGCCUGGUCAGUACCUGGAUGGGAGAUCUCCUGGGAAAAUAAGGUUGCUGCUGGAA